UGUCGCCAUGUUUUUCACAGUGCAAUGCAUUCUGGGUAAAUGACAUGUAAAGGUCCAACUGCCUGACUCCUCCAGCCAAAACAGUGAUGAGAAAUGUGAUUAAGCCUUUUUAAUUUGAACUGGAGUGCAUUGAAAAUGAUCGGAACAUAGAAAUCAGAAGAGGUGAUGAAAAUGAGGAGGAGCAAACAGAGGUAUUCGACAGAGUUGACCGUAGGAGCUGGUGUUUUGCUCCUGCCUUCAGUUUCAUAAUGAAACAAUGAAUGACACUUACCUCUGAAGGCAGCUGAGGCU